UGGGGAAUCUUCCGCAAUGGGCGAAAGCCUGACGGAGCAACGCCGCGUGAACGAUGAAGGUCUUAGGAUCGUAAAGUUCUGUUGUUAGGGACGAAGGGUAAGAAUCAUAAUACGGUUUUUAUUUGACGGUACCUAACGAGGAAGCCACGGCUAACUACGUGCCAGCAGCCGCGGUAAUACGUAGGCGGCAAGCGUUGUCCGGAAUUAUUGGGCGUAAAGGGAGCGCAGGCGGGAAACUAAGCGGAUCUUAAAAGUGCGGGGCUCAACCCCGUGAUGGGGUCCGAACUGGUUUUCUUGAGUGCAGGAGAGGAAAGCGGAAUUCCCAGUGUAGCGGUGAAAUGCGUAGAUAUUGGGAAGAACACCAGUGGCGAAGGCGGCUUUCUGGACUGUAACUGACGCUGAGGCUCGAAAGCUAGGGUAGCGAACGGG
rnacentral:rRNA from 2 species